AAAAAGAUAAGCUAAAUGAAGCUACUGGGUUCAUACCCCAUUUAUGAAAGUUUUAAUCUUUCUCUUUUUA
rnacentral:tRNA from 1 species